rnacentral:rRNA from 1 species
UACGGAGGGGGCUAGCGUUGUUCGGAAUUACUGGGCGUAAAGCGCACGUAGGCGGCUUUGUAAGUUAGAGGUGAAAGCCCGGGGCUCAACUCCGGAAUUGCCUUUAAGACUGCAUCGCUAGAAUUGUGGAGAGGUAAGUGGAAUUCCGAGUGUAGAGGUGAAAUUCGUAGAUAUUCGGAAGAACACCAGUGACGAAGGCGACUUACUGGACACAUAUUGACGCUGAGGUGCGAAAGCGUGGGGAGCAAACAGG